AGAGUUUGAUCUUGGCUCAGAGUGAACGCUGGCGGCAGGCCUAAUACAUGCAAGUCGAACGGCAGCACAGCAGAGCUUGCUCUGUGGGUGGCGAGUGGCGGACGGGUGAGGAAUACAUGGGAAUCUGCCCAGUCGUGGGGGAUAACGUAGGGAAACUUACGCUAAUACCGCAUGCGCCCUUCGGGGGAAAGCCGGGGACCUUCGGGCCUGGCGUGAUUGGAUGAGCCCAUGUCGGAUUAGCUAGUUGGUGGGGUAAAGGCCCACCAAGGCGACGAUCCGUAGCUGGUCUGAGAGGAUGAUCAGCCACACUGGAACUGAGACACGGUCCAGACUCCUACGGGAGGCAGCAGUAGGGAAUAUUGGACAAUGGGCGCAAGCCUGAUCCAGCCAUGCCGCGUGAGUGAAGAACGCCCUCGGGUUGUAAAGCUCUUUUGUCCGGAAAGAAAAGCGCUGGGUUAAUACCCUGGUGUCCUGACGGUACGGAAGAUAAGCACCGCUACCUCGUGCAGCAGCCGCGGUAUACGAAGGUGCAGCGUCACUCGAAUUCUGCGCUNAACCUCCUAGUGNUUGUUAGCCUAUUGAAGCCUGGGUCACCUGAAUGCUUGGAUAUGCGGCUAAUGCG
rnacentral:rRNA from 1 species